GCACUGCUGGGUAGCUAAAUGCGGAAGAGAUAAGUGCUGAAAGCAUCUAAGCACGAAACUCGCCUUAAGAUGAGUUCUCCCAGUCUAUAAGACUGUAAGGGUUGUUGGAGACUACGACGUAGAUAGGCGUGGUGUGUAAGCGGUGUGAGCCGUUGAGCUAACACGUACUAAUUGCCCGAGAGGCUUAACUAU
rnacentral:rRNA from 1 species